rnacentral:lncRNA from 1 species
AAGAAGUCUUGGCAGGCUCGUCAUACGGGUAUUAAGAUUGUUCAGCAGAUCGCUAUUCUCAUUGGUUGUGCUGUUCUUCCACAUUUGAGGUCUUUGGUGGAAAUUAUUGAACAUGGUCUCAAUGAUGAGAACCAGAAGGUCAGAACUAUUACAGCUCUUUCUCUGGCUGCUCUUGCUGAAGCUGCUGCGCCAUAUGGUAUUGAGAGUUUUGAUUCAGUUUUGAAGCCCUUAUGGAAGGGUAUUAGAUCACAUCGUGGCAAGGUUUUGGCUGCCUUCUUAAAGGCUAUAGGCUUCAUCAUUCCUCUUAUGGAUGCUGUAUACGCCAGCUACUACACCAAAGAAGUUAUGGUUAUUCUUAUCCGUGAGUUUCAAUCACCUGAUGAGGAGAUGAAGAAAAUUGUGUUGAAAGUGGUGAAGCAGUGUGUGAGUACAGAAGGUGUGGAGCCGGAUUACAUCCGUCAAGACAUACUUCCAGAGUUCUUCAGGAACUUCUGGGUCAGAAGAAUGGCUUUGGACCGCAGAAACUACAAGCAGCUUGUUGAAACGGAGUUCUUUAGGAACUUCUGGGUCAGAAGAAUGGCUUUGGACCGCAGAAACUACAAGCAGCUUGUUGAAACCACUGUGGAGAUAGCAAACAAAGUUGGUGUAGCUGAUAUAGUUGGGAGAAUUGUGGAAGACCUCAAAGAUGAAAGUGAACCAUACCGAAGAAUGGUUAUGGAGACCAUUGAGAAAGUGGUUGCGAAUCUUGGUGCAUCUGAUAUUGAUGCUCGAUUGGAAGAGCUUUUAAUUGAUGGAAUCCUUUAUGCCUUCCAAGAGCAGACCAGUGACGACGCCAAUGUGAUGCUUAAUGGAUUUGGUGCUGUUGUAAAUGCACUUGGCCAAAGAGUUAAACCAUACCUUCCUCAGAUUUGUGGUACCAUAAAAUGGCGACUGAACAACAAGAGUGCAAAGGUGAGACAGCAAGCUGCAGAUCAUAUCAUUAAACCAUACCUUCCUCAGAUUUGUGGUACCAUAAAAUGGCGACUGAACAACAAGAGUGCAAAGGUGAGACAGCAAGCUGCAGAUCUGAUAUCCAGAAUUGCAGUGGUUAUGAAGCAGUGUGGGGAAGAGCAACUAAUGGGCCAUCUUGGUGUUGUC